ACGCGAAGAACCUUACCUACCCUUGACAUGCCCGGAAUCCCGCAGAGAUGUGGGAGUGCCCGAAAGGGAGCCGGGGCACAGGUGCUGCAUGGCUGUCGUCAGCUCGUGUCGUGAGAUGUUGGGUUAAGUCCCGCAACGAGCGCAACCCUUGUCACUAGUUGCUACGAAAGGGCACUCUAGUGAGACUGCCGGUGACAAACCGGAGGAAGGUGGGGAUGACGUCAAGUCCUUAUGGCCCUUAUGGGUAGGGCCUCACACGUCAUACAAUGGCCGGUACAAAGGGCUGCCAACCCGCGAGGGGGAGCUAAUCCUGGAAAGCCGGUCGUAGUCCGGAUUGCAGUCUGCAACUCGACUGCAUGAAGUCGGAAUCGCUAGUAAUCGUGGAUCAGCAUGUCACGGUGAAUACGUUCCCGGGUCUUGUACACACCG
rnacentral:rRNA from 1 species